rnacentral:rRNA from 1 species
GAGCGGUAGAGAGAAGCUUGCUUCUCUUGAGAGCGGCGGACGGGUGAGUAAUGCCUAGGAAUCUGCCUGGUAGUGGGGGAUAACGUUCGGAAACGGACGCUAAUACCGCAUACGUCCUACGGGAGAAAGCAGGGGACCUUCGGGCCUUGCGCUAUCAGAUGAGCCUAGGUCGGAUUAGCUAGUUGGUGGGGUAAUGGCUCACCAGGGCGACGAUCCGUAACUGGUCUGAGAGGAUGAUCAGUCACACUGGAACUGAGACACGGUCCAGACUCCUACGGGAGGCAGCAGUGGGGAAUAUUGGACAAUGGGCGAAAGCCUGAUCCAGCCAUGCCGCGUGUGUGAAGAAGGUCUUCGGAUUGUAAAGCACUUUAAGUUGGGAGGAAGGGUUGUAGAUUAAUACUCUGCAAUUUUGACGUUACCGACAGAAUAAGCACCGGCUAACUCUGUG